UCAGCCGCCUCUGCUUUCUUCUUUAGUUCUUUUCUAUGUUAAUUUCUAAAAAGCUUUAUGAUAAUUCUUAGUUUCUUACUCCUUCCUGUCAAAAGAACUACAAGAAUCUUGUGAUCAUUCUUUGUGGAAUAAAAUACAAAGUUGGUAAGUACAAUUUUUUUUUCAAUGAUAACUUUUUUCUUUCUUUUCAAGCAUUUUUUUUCUACAUAUUGUGAUUGGGACUGAUUUUGGUAGUCAUUAGUCAAUUAAGAGAGGAUUGAAAAAAAAAAAUUUAUAAUAUGUAUUGAUUUUUUAUUACUUAAAAUUUUACAAUAUGAUAUGACUGCAAUCUCAUAAGACUCAUAUUUUCACAAUAAAAUUUUUAUGCUGCUUAUUAUAGUUUAGAGUUAAAAUUUUAAUUCCGUUUAGAAAUCUACUUUGAUGGUAAGAGCUGGUCGAAGAGCAUUGUAUAUAUAAAAUUUUAUAUUUUUCGAUUGAAGAGGACUGAAUAUACUAAAUUGUGUAUUUUUUUAUCCAGGUUUUCAAGCACAAAAGCAUUAAAAAGUUAUUUGGGGGUCAACUUAUCAAUUGAAUCAGGUUCUAUUAUUCUAACCUUUUGCUAUUUUUUUAAAUCUAAAUUCUGUCAUUUUUUAUAUUUUUACUUCAUAGAUAUACUGUAGUUUUUAUUAUUUACUAGAGUAUAAAUAUGUCUACUAGAAAAUAUGAUUCCGGUUAUGCAAAACUUCAAAAAAGAAGAAGAAUUGAAACUUUAAUACAAUCCCAAAAAGGAGCACUUGAUAAAUUUUUAUCCAGUAAUAAAAAUUCUAAACUAGAAAAUAUGGGAGAAUAUUCUUUGAAUGAACAAGUUACUAAUCCAGCUGCGUUAGAUGAUAAUAACAUCCAAGAAAAAGAAGAAGCUAGUGAGAAAUCUGACAUAGAUCCUCAAAAUAAUUAAGAACUUUUAAAUGAAUUGAAUACUUGCACUCCUAUAAACAUGGACUAAUGUAGAUACAAAGUUAAAAAGAUCUAUUAGUAGAAAAAGGACCAAUUGAUUUUUUGUUUAGUGGUAAAAAAUUAAAGUCAUUAGAUGAUGAGAAUUUGAAUUUUUUUUGCCUUAAUCUUGAAAUGUCUUUAAGACAUAAUAGUCACUCUGAUAUUGACGGUCUAGACUUAUUUUCUGAAUUAAAAGUAUUGAGGGAAAUAGUACAAGUAGAAGAUAAUACUCUAGUCGACAUACUCAAUCAGAUAAAAAGACUUGAUUCUUUUCCAAAUGCCUAUAUUGCUUAUAGAAUAAUGUUAACAGUUCCUGUAACAGUUGCCUCUGCGGAAAGAAGUUUUUCAAAAUUAAAAUUGAUAAAAUCUUACCUAAGAUCAACUAUAUCUCAAGAGAGAUUAAAUGGAUUAGCCAUUUUAUCAAUUGAAAAAGAAUUGUUAGAGGAAAUAGAUUAUAAAAAGAUUAUUAAUAACUUUGCAAGUCAAAAAGCUAGAAAAAUAGCCGUUAAAUAAAAUAUACAUAAUUUUUUUAGAGGAACUUAAGGCCCCUAAUUACAGUUUGGCUUUAGGCCCCGAACUGUGUUGAGCCGCCUCUGGGCACAACCAUUCUAUCAUGUGUUGAAUUUGGUUGGGGGGUGGGGGGUGGGGGUGUGGGGGGGGGGGGGAGGGAGUAAAUCUAAAGAGGAAUGAUGUUUAGAGUGAAGCUUUUAAAUUUCACAUUUUUAAUGUAUGACGUUAGUUUUUCUGUAUACUUAUAGAUGUUUUUGGUCAACUCCUCGCAAAUGCUUGAAAUUUUUUGUCACUGUAGCUUAUUAUGAUGUUUAUGACACAAAAUAGUGCUGACAUGGAAACUCGUGAUCGGUUGAUAUAUGCAAUAAAUUCUGCAAUUUAUUUGUUUAUUUCAUGCUCAAUGUUAAUACUAAUAAAUUCUGUUAUCUAAUUACUUGAUUGCCAUGAACCAUGAUCUAGCUAAGAAGGGUUUAAACAUGCCUACAUCCUUGUAUUUAAUUAAAUCACAAGCGAACAAAAUACAAGAAGGGUGAACUUUACAAGUAGAGUUAUCAAAAAUAUGAGUUGACUGGAGUCAUUCGGCGGAAUAAUCAAAUUGCAAGUAAAUUGCGUGAAUUUACCAUUACAAAGUUUUGGUAUAUGUUUGACAAUUUUGAUUAUUUUAGCCAAUAUUGGAAAUUCGCGAUUGGUUGAUACACGCAAUAAAUUUUGCUAUUAAUUUAUUUUACUAUCUUUGAAAAUGUAAUUUGAAAACUAAAUAUCUAUUUAAAAGAAUAUUUUUAUAAAUCAUAACAAUUGAGAGUAUAGUCUUCUUUAACCUUAAACACAUGUUAUGUGUCAAAUCCUAUCUUUAAUUAAAACACAAUAGAACAAAAUAAAAGAAGGAUAAACCACGUGGCUAGAGUUACCCGAUCAAUACAUGUAUACUGAUGGAACGUAAUAGAUACUAGUUGGUAGAAUAGUUGAAAUGUGCACGAAAUAUGCACGCAAGUUGCACCAGACAUCAUAGUUACAUCUCCCAAAAAAGUGAAGAGAAAAUGUAAUUAAGGAUCAAAGUGGCAUGAUUUUGAUAAUUAAGAAGCCUAUUGCCUUUAAUCACAUGUUCAAUGCUUAAAUCCUUAUCUUUAAUUAAAAUAUACUACGAAAGAACAAAAUAUAAGAAGGUUAUACCACGUGAUUAGAAUCACGUGACUUGCACCUUGAGAUUCAUGUUGAUCCUGAAGCACAUUGGAUGAAGCUUUGAAAUUUCACAUUCGAGUUCUUUGAUUUUUAAUGUAGGACGUUAGUUUUGUUAUGAUGGUUAACUAAAGUAUGAAACAUUUUCACUUCUAAACAUACAAAUGAUGCUUAUUAUUGUUUAUAGCGAUACUUUAAGGAUGUGAUUUAUCUUUUCCAUACAUAUGUUUUUGGUCAACAACUCGUAAAUGUUUGACAAUUUUUGUCACUCUAGCCACUUAUGAUGUUUAAAACACAAAAUAGUGCUGACAUGGAAACUCGUGAUUGAUUGGCUAAUUCAUCAAUUAAAUGGUUCGUUUCAUGCUUAAAAUUGAUCGUCUAAGCCAAAAGGCCGAGAAAGAUAUCAAUUCCGUUUAGACUAGCUCUCUCCACUCUUUCAAGGAUGUUUCAAGAAAUUUUUUAAAUAUGAUAUAACAUUUAAUGAUUAAGGAUAAGAAAUCUAUUUAAAAGGAUAAUUCACCUUUAUAGAUCGUAUAACAGUUGAGAAUAUACAAUUUUUCAGGUUUAAACAUGCCUAAAUCCUUGUAUUUAAUUAAAUCACAAGAGAAUAAAAUACAAGAAGAGUGAACUUUAUAAGUAGAGUUAUUAAAAAUACCAGUAUCUAUAAGCGUGUGUUGCACGUUAAUAAUGGCACAUGAUGAUGUAAAUAUUUAUUUAUAUGAAGGAAUAGCAAAUUUAAUUAAUGAGAGAAAUUUUAUAUAUAAUACUACAAAAAUAAUCUAAAUACCGAAAAAUAUUGUUAUAUUAGCAUAAUACGUGAAUUCAAAAUGAAAGGAUAUCAUCAAAACUUACAUAAAUGAUCAACUUUAGUCAUAUUAAGUAGAUAAUUAUGUAUUCUAGUUUAAAAUUAUCUAAUGCAAUGGUAUCUUAUCGAAUACUUCUUUAUAGAUGAUGUUUUUUUUUGUAUAUAUUUCCUUCUAAUGCUUUGGUUACUUUGCCAUAACCAGAAUUCUUGUUGUCGAUAUUGAUAUCUCUCUUGAAAGUGGAACAUAUAGUUAUUCGUAUAGGAAAAUAUAUUGUGGUUAAUAUAGUUCAAUAUUUUGGAUGUUUUCCUUGUGCUUUAUUUUUUAUAACUACAAAAUAUAAACAUACCGAAAAUUAUUUUCACACAAAUUUGACAUACAUAUUUUUCUUCAAAAUCAACCUAUAUGAAAUGGAAGAUCAAUUUUAACUUAGUCUAUUAUAUAUAUGGUGACACUAACAUAUGUAAAAAAUAAUGAACUUCACAACAAACAUGUACGGUAGAAGGCCAUUUGGUAUUAAAGUAUUUAAGUAUUCUUCUUAAUAGUUAUUAUUGGUAUCAUCUUCUGCUGAGUCAAAACUGAAAAAUAUUAUGUUUUUAUCAUAAAACUUAGUAAUCAAUUUUUUAUUUAGUUGAUCAACAUAUUCAUUUAUGCUAGCUAAGAUAGCUCUUUAAUUUCUAUCAUGUAAUUUGUACAAAUUGCGUUUUAAUUUAAUGAUAAAAAUAUAUAUUUUUUCCUUAUUAAAUGCACUACUAUUACCAUUGAGGUUGUUAACCAAGUGUUCUAGAAGAACCAAAUCCUUUUUUAUUGGAUGCUCUUAUUCAUUUUCGAUGCGAAGCAAGAAGUCACUGAAUGUGGAUCUCACUACUAGAAAUUCGGUAAUUAGCGACCCAAAAAAGCGACCAACGUUGGUCGGUUUAGGUAAAUUAUCGACCAAAACUCGUCCAAACACGCUUGGUCGCUAUUUUGGUGGUCGUUUUAAUAUACCGACCAAGGUUGGUUGCAAAGGUAAAAGGACCAACUAUGCAAUUUAAAGCACAUACCGACCAACUUUGGUCGGUAAUAAUAUUUUAAUAAUUUAGUUUUACCGACCAAAGUUGGUCGACAUAUUUAAAUUACGUUAUAUUAACUAUUAAAAUUUAAAAAUUAGCGAUCAAAGUUGGUCGGUAAAGUAAAAUAUAUAAUUUCUUAAAAAACAUUAAAAUUUAACCAUACUGACCAAAGUUGGCCGGUAAAGUUGAAAUCUGGGUAAUCCUUAUUAAAAAACGGACCAAUUUUGGUCGGUAAUUUAUAAUUUAUAUAUUUUUUUUAAAACUUAAGCGACCAAGGUUGGUGCUAAUCAACAGAAUUUUUUUUUAAUUAGGAACCGACUAACUUUGGUCGGUUCUCUGGGUUUUAAUUUUGGCAUAAAAUGCUUGUUUUUGGCAGCUACACCACCUGCCAGCAUACCAAAAUCCCUAAACAACAACAACACCACCACCACAAUUCAAUAAAUACAUUAAAACUAACAAAUUAAAGUUCAAUAGAACUAAAAAAUCCAGAACCAAGUUAAAACUUAUUACAACUAGUUCAAAACCGAUUCUAUUUGUCUAGUUCAAAGUAUAUAAAAGUCAAGGAGGGUUUUGUACAACAUCAUCAUCACCUCUGAUGAAGUUUCAUCUAAAAGACGAUUUCGAGAAGGGUCUUGUGGAGGAUGGGAAGAACGACCACGGGGAGGACAGGAGGAACGAUCACGGGGAGGACCGGAGGAAUGAUCACGGGGAGGACGGAAGGACACUCACGUUCAAGUCGAGCCUCUGGCGAUGAUUCACGAGACCGGGGCAACAGAAAAACUCCAGUAGAUAGGAGAGUUUUGAUCUGAGCUUGCAUGCCAAGGAACUGAGCAUCUCUAACCCUUUCUCUUUCCUUGGCCGCUUCUAGCUCGGAUGUGAGCUUUGUCACAGUCUCCCGUAUAGUGGAGAGGCUCUCCCCAUCAAGUUGCUCGCCUUGCGAGGAAGUCCCUAUUCCUUGCAUUCCACACUUAUAGUGAUGGAAUUUCUUAGUAGGAAGCCUGUACCUUCCCUCAUUUUAGACUGCCAGCAGACUCCAUCCAUAUUCUUUCAGCAUCCUCGUCCGAAGGUUGGGUUGGCACGCCCGAUUCAUCGGCUGGCUGAGUGCGGAUGAAUUCCUCCACGUUAAUUUGGUAGUGACCCCAUACAAAAAUUUAAAUUGAAUUAGUAUUUCAAAAGUUAUAUAAAAGUAAAUUAAAAUACUUAAAGAAAAGUGAAAGCUUACAUAUACAGUCGAAGCCCGGUCCUCAACCCACCUUCUUGAUCUGUCUCUUUCUUCUUCUUUACAAUAUAUGUCUCCUUGAAUAGCUCAUCAUGGUUCAUUGGAUGCCCCAACUUCUUUUCCUGAAAAUAAAUUAAUUUAGUUAAUAAACAGAAUAGAUAUAGUUUGAAAAUUAAAAUAAUUUAAGCAAUUACGUACCAAUCUUCUUUUUAUUAUCCCUAGGCUGAUCGCACCUCCAAUGUGGAAGGAGCCUCCCUUCUUAGAUGCGUGAGCUUUUUUUUCCCUUUUUCGCUCUUCUCUAAGAACUUUGCGGUAAGCCAUUGCCUUUGCAAAUCAUCCCAUAAAUUUUGAAGUAGCCGGUUAGGCUUCUUGUUCUUCUUUCUAGUUAAGGAGAAAGUAUGCGACAAUAGCUUGCGAGCUUUGUGAUGGAAAUUUGCAGUCACUUCCGCGCUAUAGCGGCGUUCCCAUACACACUUGCUCUGUAUUUCAAAAGUUAAAUAUUAUAUGAAAAUAUCAUAAAUAUAAAUUAUUAAACACUUAAAAGAACAUUUAUACCUUAAAUUGAUUGAAAAUUUGCUCCUUCAGCGAGAAUGAAAAAUCAGUCCAAGUCGCAUAAGGGCCAUCAUAAAGCUUUCUGAUGGCUUUGGUAAUUAUCCUCGUAGUCUUAUUACUCGGGAUGAACCUGCAAUUUAACAAUAAAAAUACAUUAAUAUCUUAGUAAAAACUUUACAAUACAAUAAACACAAAAAUAACAAAUAACUCUUACCCAUCACCCUCAAGGACUAUGAUGAUCCUGCCAUAACGAUCAUAAUGCACCUCCUCGUCUUCAUCAGCAUCAUCGUCUGAAGCAUGUAUAUUAGAGGCAUGUGUGGACGGUGUAGGGGGUUAGAGCUACUACCUCGCAGGCGAAGGCCUAAAAUAGAUGGAGUCGAUGAUGAAGAUGGUUGUGAUCCCUGUGACUGCGACAUAGCUGGAUGGACCCCAAGUGGCUGUGAUACUGAUGGCUGUGACCUGAGUGGCUGUGAUCCAUGUGGCUAUGACAUGGAUGGAUGCGAUCCAUGCGAUGUAGAUGGUUGCGAUCCACGUGGUUGUGAGGCAGUUGGACUGUAUGUCGAACGUAUAGUCCUAUGGCCCUGUGAUGAAAGACCUGGUGUCUGCACGAAGGUGUUGGGCUCGUGAUGCUGUGGCAACUCAGUAUAGCCGUCGGGUGGAGGAUAAGACAUAGGCAUAGGCAUAGGUAUCUCUGAAGAGGGUGGAGCAGAUGGAGUAUUAUUUUCUACCCUCCUCUUUCCCUUUCUAUCCUUUUCUCGACCCCGAGAACUAGUAGGUUCAUUAUUACCUUGACCCUUGCCUGCCAUCUGCAUAAUAUAAUACAUAUUUAGAUUGAAACAUAUAAGAAACUAGCUAUAAAACGAGAGUUAUUUAAAAAACCAACUUUUUAAAGCUCAUCGACGUAUUGUUCCUCGUCCGAGAAUUCUUUGUCCUUACUUGUUUGAGCUUCAUCAGUUGAUUUUUCAUCCUCAUUUUCUAUAAUUCUUACUUCAUUUAUAUCAACUUCUUCCAAUAUGUGUUCAGGAUGUUCCAAAUCAUUUUCUAGCUGAUCGUCCACUAUUUGGUGAACACUGGAGAUAUCGUUUUGAUAUGCAACAUCUAACACAUUCUCGACUUCCACCCUACCUACAUGCUUAGUUUUUAUUACAACCCACCAAUCAGACUUAUUCCGCCGUAAUGUAUAAGGAGCAUAAUACACUUUCCUAACAGUAUGUGCAAUUAUGUGUCACGCCCCAAAAACCGAGGAGCGCGACCAGCGCUCAACCGAGUAAACCCGACUGAGCAAGCCUGCUAGGUUUCAUUCUACCCCAAACUAAUUCAUAAAUAAUGAGGAGAUGGACUCCAUUAAUCAUACAAUGUAAAUAUUUAAUUAACAACUUCCAUUUUAUUUCCAUUAGCAGUUUCAACCAUAAUGUCCAAAAUAUUACAAUUUUUAUAGUUAUGAUGAUGAAAAAAUAUAUUUGCCAAAUACCAAUAUUUCUAAUUCAAUUCCCCAUUAUCAAACUCCACCCAUAACCUGUCUACGAAGCCUCUAAAUACAACUGAAGAGCAAUAUGGAAAUGCCAGCAACAAGGCUCCGGCUAUACCUCGAAAUACAAAGUACAAGAUAAACAAUGGUACAGGACCCCGAAAUAAAGUGGGGCUCACCAAGUCAGCUGAAAGGAAGAUGUGUCACUAGCUGCGACCAACACUGCCUGCUAUGGAACCACCUACUUCCAUUUAAAGAUAUAGCGCCCCCGGGAAAAGGGACGUUAGUGCCGUCGAAUAGCACUAGUAUGUAUAACUAAACACCGUCUUAUUAGAAAGAACAACCAUACAAGAACAAAGAAAUCAUAAGGAUUUAACAAAAGCUUUAAACAAUUACCACAUCAUUAAAUAAAAGGAAUCACAUAGCUUUGACAUAAUUUCCAUAGCUUUGAGUUGGGGCAUUUCAUACUGUUGCAUCAUCAUUCACAAUACCACCGCUUUCUUGUGCGGAGUCCGAUCACGACCCGAUCAGCUAGGUUGCCUCAUUUGAGACAUGUACCACUGUCACAAUUCCAUUCUCACUUUUCGGUUUCAAUAUCAGUAUAAUACCACCAUGUGUGUAGCAUGGCGUCCGAUCACGGCCCGAUCGGCUAGGCCAUCUUACCAAGACAUUGUCCCUUUUUCCAUCAAUCAUCUCAUUUUAAUUUUUAUUUCACAUAUAUCAGUUCGUCGGCACUUGGGGCCACAAUGUUCACAUCAUAUUUGGCACUAAGCCACAUUUCAUAACUCACAUUCCACAUCACUUUCACUUUCAACAUUAAACUUGCAAGUUAAGAUAAUGGGCACAUACAAGAGCAAUUCAAGUUAUAAGCAUAGAGAGAGAUUCACAUGAUUUGGCAUAAUAAUCACAAUUUAAACUUGACUUGAAAUCUAGGCAAUUUAGCUAUAGUCCAUAUUCUUCACAUAUCACCAAUUUACCAAGAAUAGCAUAAUAAACAUAUCGAGACACACUUUUCACAUAUAUUUUUGCAACACUAAUUCCUUUGAAAUAACAAAUAGUACAUCAAUCAAAUUCCGGAUUUACAAUUUUACAUGGACACCAUGGGAGCUCAAUUUCUAAGAAGGGGAGUUUUAUCCAUACAUACCUUGUUCAAGCUUUGCUUAAGUUUCUACAAUCCACCGACACCUCUAGCAAUAACAAUCUACAAGGAGAUAGCAGGAAUCAAUUAAUAAUUAGGAAGAUUACCCAUGUUGUAACUCUCUUAAGAAUUUCAUCAAACACCUAACAUGUGAAGUAGUCUACAAGGUCUGAAAAUGGAAAUUCCUUCUUGCCUCAACCAAUUUUAACAGGAACUACCCAAAUUAGUUCUUUUAAUAUCACAUACUACAACUUAGUCCCACAUGCAUGACCUAUUUCUAAUCCCAACAACAUAUUUGAACCAUUACCUCUUGCAUGAAAUCUUGGAAGAAGGACUUACCCGGAUGGAGGAUAAUCAAGUGGUUAUCUUCCUUGAUUCUUGAAAACUUUUUGGGUGAUUAUGAAGCUAGUCUCCUUCUUUCUCUCUCUAUAUGCUCUCAACUCUCUCUAAAAUCAGUAGAAAAAUGAACCCAAAUGAAGCCCCUAAGCCUAUUUAUCAAAAUGGGGUCGGGUUAUAAAAAUAGGAAAAAUUAGCCUCUGAAAUCGGGUUUGCGGUCGCAUAAUGGACCGCAAAACAGGAAUGUGGGUCGCAAAAUGAAUCGCGGAACUGGUGACCAGAAAUGGGCUACAUUGGACAUGUUUGCGAUGAUUUUGCGGUCGCAUUACCACUUAUGCGAUCGCAGAAUUGGCUGCAGAAUGGGAUUUAGCUUUUGGUAAUUUGGUCAUAACUUUGUGUAGGAGUGUCUAAAUGACAAACGGUUUGAAGCGUUGGAAACUAGACUCAAAGACUUUUCAUAUGAUUGGUUGUUCAUCACAUAAAACCUUUUAUAUAUAUAUAUAUAUAUAUAUGAUCGUUCAAAGUGUGGACUUGUGCAAACUCAUUUGGAAUUUUAGCCUAUUAUAAAAUUUUCCAAUUUGACUUAGAAUUAGGCCUCCCAUUAGACCCCACAUUACUUAUUAUAUGACUUAUACACUUAUUUACCAAAUCCAAUUGAUGUCCAUCAUGUUAAUAGCACAUAAAAUAUUGUAAUUAGCCUACCUGGCACCUCAAAAUCCUAAAUUACUUAGAAAAAUUUUCCGGGCCUUACAUUCUCCCCCCCUUAGGAUCAUUCGUCCUCGAAUGAGGAGUAGAGUCCACCCUAAAUGUUUAACACAAUAUAUCUCUUUUCUAACCUACCUCAGGUCCCUAAAUUUUAACUAACUCCCAAAUUUUUUUAGAAAUUUCGGCAGCAUCUCCUUUGUAACUAAGCCUAUCCACCUGCCAGAGAACCACUAAAACCAUUCUAACAACAUAUCCACAACUUGACAAAGCGACACAACGUAUAUAUCUAUAACACUAAUCUCAGCAUUACAAACACUACAUUAUCAUAUGGAUCCCUGGACAUGAACUGCACAUUUCUAAAUCAUAAUACCUAUAAGGUACCUUUCAAAUCAAAACCAAUUGUUACACAAUCAGGCAAAAAUAUAUUCUUUUCCAUGACACUUUCGGCCUUCAAGGUGGUCUCCUCGACUUACAAACUUUGCCAUAACACAUUCACAGAAAUAAUCCCAGCCCCCAAACUUAUCUAACUAGGAUGACAGCUAGUUACCUCGCAUAAGCUAACUAUCCAUUAACUUCAACUUCAACAAUUUCCACUGGGAUGACACACAAAAGAUCUCCAACUACCUUCUUAGACAUAGACAUAUGAAAACAUGAAAUACGUGAGAAACAUCUACGGGGAAACAUCAUACUCCUAGUGGAGCCUAAUGGGAAAUGUGCUUAUGUACCUUUCAUUAUCAAUUCACAUAACAUCUUCAGGGGAAAAUAUUGAGAAUAACCUGUGCACCCUCCUAAAUUCUAAAUCUCUACGCGAACACCCAAACUAAACCUGUGGUGACCUUCAACGAUUACUUCAAGAUGUGCUAUCAUAAAUUGACCAUAAAAUUACCUAUUGAAUAUAUGUGAUCACAGGGUGACUUUGACAUGUUUGAACCUUCAAUACUAAAUAGAUCUAAUACAAUGAGGAUCUACGAAGUUCAAGAUCGGGCUGAAAUUAUUCAGGAAUCCAUUAAGUCACUGAGCAGAGUACUUCCUGAGGUUAUAUGCUAAGGGACAUGAAAAUUACUACUAACAAUGCUGACAGGGUUAAUCAUUGUGAUGACAUUAAUUAUUAGACAAAUAAGGCAUGUGUAUGACGAACCGGCCGGUCAUCUUAAGAAUUUACACCCCGGUCAUCUUAAUUAUUAGACAGGGUCAUCUUAAUUAAUUGCUUUCCCCAAGAUUAUUAUGAUAUUUUGAUUUGCCAGGAUGUUCGGUUUUGAGUUUCGGAGAGUUUUGGGACACUUAGUCCCUAAAUGAGAGCUUAAGUGUUGGAAAGUUGACCAUAGUCGGAACAGUGUGAAGACAGCCUCAGAAUGGAAAUUCGAUGGUUCCGUUAGCUCCGUUGGGUGAUUUCGGGCUUAGGGGCAUGUUCGGAUUGUGUUUUGGAGGUCCGUAGCUAAUUUAGGCUUGAAAUGCCGAAAGUCGAAUUUUGAAGUUUUCGGUUCGAUAGUGAGAUUUUGAUCCGAGGGUUGGAAUGAAUUUCUGGAAUUUGUAGUAGCUCCGUAGUGUUAAAUGUGAUGUGUGUGCAAAAUUUCAGGUCAUUCGGAUGAAGUUUGAUAGACUUUUUGAUCGAAAGUGUAUUUUUAGAGUUUUGGAGUUCUUAGGCUUGAAUCCAUGGUUGAUUCAUCGUUUUGAUGUUGUUUUAGGUAUUUUAAGGAUUGGUAUAAGUUUGGACGCUGGUUUUAGACUUGUUGUUGCCUUUGGUUGAGGUCCCGGGGGCCUCGGGAUGAUUUCAGAUGGUUGACGGAAGAAAUUUGGAGUUUGGAGUUGCAGCUUCAGCUGCUGGUUUUCUGUCAUAACUGCACCUGCGAGUGUAGGACCGCAAGUGUGGAGAUGUAGAAGCGGCUCAGCGGUCGCAGAAGCGGAAUUAGAGAGGUCCAGCAGGAGCCGCAGGUGCGAGAAGGGAAUCGCACCUGCGUGACCGCAGGUGCGGAGGGUCUACCGCAGAAGCGGAAACUGGUCUUAAGUGAAAGUUCGCAGGUGCGACCAUUGGUCCACAAAAGCAUGACCGCAAAUGCGGUCCCUUGACCGCAAAUGCGGUAAUAGCUGAGCAGAAAUAUGAAAUUUCGAGGGUUUGGUUUCAAAAGUUGGGAAUUCAAUUUGGAGCUCGGGAGAGGGCGAUUUUGAGAGGAAAUUGAAGAGGAGAUCAGUGGGUAACAAUUCUUUAACCCUUUCUAUUUAUAUUCCAUCAACCUAUAGUUAGUUUCAUCAUUUAAUUUCGGAUUGGAGAUGAAAAUUGGGGAAAAGUUGGACAAAUGUUCGUAGACCUAAAAUUCGACUUUUGAUUGGAAAUUUGACCUUAGAUUUGGAUAAUUUUGGUAUGCAUGAACUCGUGAGAGUGUGAGAAUUCUGAAAAUAUAAAUUUUACUCGAUUCCGAGACGUGGGUCUGAGGGGCAUUUUGGUUAUUUUUUCUAAUUUCGCAUAUUAGCUUAGAAUUUCUUUGUAGAAUCAGUUGCUUGAAGUGUUAUUUACAUUAUGCAAAUGAUUUGAAUAGAAUUGGGCCAUUUGGAGUCGAGUACUCGUGGCAAUAAUGUGGUUUUAGGUUGAUUAUUGAGCCGGUUCGAGGCAAGUGGCUUGCCUAACCUUGUAUGGGGGCCUUCCCCUUAGGAUUUGGUAUUAUUGUUAAUUGAAAUGCCUUGUACGUGAGGUGACGAGUGCGUACUUGUGCUAAUUGUUGAAAAUCCAAUUUUCAUUAAAGAAAUUACUAGUUUGUUUCCUUUCCUGUUUUUAUUUCGUGUACUAUUAAGCCUGUUGUUAGCUUAGGAAAGCAUGUCUAAGUGAUUUAAUUGUUUUAUUUGCUCAAACUGCUUUACCUGAAUUCUGUGCAGCAUGCUAGGCUAUGAAUACUUGUUUGCCUUAAUAUGAAAUUAACAUUUGCUGAAUAUUUUCCUGUUGUUGUUGUGUAUUUAUAUUGGGACUACGGAUGUGGGAUUCCGGUAGAUCCCCCUUGUUUGUUUAUUUGGGGCUACGGAUGUGGGGUUCCGGUAGAUCCCUCUUGUUUGUUUAAUUGGGACUACGAAUGUGGGAUUCCAGUAGAUCCCCCUGCACAGUUAUAUAAAACUACAGGACUGCACCCGGUAGAUUCCCCCAGUACUGGGUAUUUAUAUUUGGGACUACGGAUUGGGAUUCCGGUAGAUCUACGCGCAUUGAUAGUUGGACUACGGGACGGGAUCCCGGGAGAUCUUUCGGAUAUAUAUGAUGGACUACGAGAUGGUAUCCCGGGAGAUCCACUGGAUAGAUGUAAUUAGGACUACAGGACGGUAUCCUGGAAGGUACCCCGAUUGUUAUCUCUGUGUUGAGUUGUAUUUCCUUUCCAUGAUUAUUUUGUCUCUGUUCUAAUUGUUGUUGUUUUUCUUACUGUUGCACUUGUUUAUAUUAUUUUAUUUCACACUGUUAACCUUUAUAUUUUAUUUAACCUCAGUAGGGCUCUGACCUUCCUCAUCACUACCCAACCGAGGUUAGGCUUAGCACUUACUGAGUAGCGCUGUGGUGUACUCAUGCUCUUUCUGUGCAUGUUUUUCAUGUGCAGAUCCAGGUACUUUCGCUCUGUCUUAUCAUCCUUGAGGCGAGGCGCUUCUGUAGAGACUUCGAGGUAUAUCUACUGCGUCUGCAGACUAAGGAGUCCCUUUCUAUCUUUCUGUAAUAGUAUAGCCCUUCAGUAUUCCCCUUUUGUUAGACAUUUUUGGAGUUAGAGCUUCUUAUGUAUCUCUUAGCUUGUGAUUCAUGGGUUUCCGGGUUUUGGGAAAGUGUAUUGGUUUUAAGAGUUAAUAUUGUGUAUGCCGAUCAACACUUUUAAACGCUGUUUUUAUUACUCUAUUUCUGUUUUAAAUUGUUUUCUUUCGCA
rnacentral:lncRNA from 1 species